rnacentral:rRNA from 1 species
AUACGUAGGUGGCAAGCGUUAUCCGGAUUUACUGGGUGUAAAGGGAGCGUAGACGGCAAAGCAAGUCUGAAGUGAAAGCCCCGGGCUCAACCCGGGAAUUGCUUUGGAAACUGUUUAGCUAGAGUGCAGGAGAGGUAAGCGGAAUUCCUAGUGUAGCGGUGAAAUGCGUAGAUAUUAGGAGGAACACCGGCGGCGAAGGCGGUUUACUGGACGGUAACUGACGUUGAGGCUCGAAAGCGUGGGGAGCAAACAGGAUUAGAUACCCUGGUAGUCCACGCCGUAAACGAUGAUUACUAGGUGUUGGUUGUCAUAGACAAUCGGUGCCGCAGCAAACGCAAUAAGUAAUCCACCUGGGGAGUACGUUCGCAAGAAUGAAACUCAAAGGAAUUGACGGGG